GGGUCAGUAGGUUGGUCGUGCCACCGGUACGUACUGGUCUCACUGAUUCCUCCUUCCUGAAGAACCGUAAUGCCAUUAAUUUGGUGUUGCGGGGAAGCAGGACUGUUACUUUGAAAAAAUUAGAGUGUUUAAAGCAAGCUAACGCUUGAAUACAUUAGCAUGGAAUAAUGAAAUAGGACGAUCGAUCCUAUUUUGUUGGUUUCUAGGAUUGACGCA
rnacentral:rRNA from 1 species